GGAGAGGUGUCUUAUGAUGCACGUGACGUCUUCGUUUUUAUAUUUUUCUUCUGGGAUGAAUAGCUAUUGCCCGGUUGUAAAAUUAUCGCAAUUUUACGUUAAAAAAUACCCUAAAGGAUUGAUUGUAAACAUCGUUUGACGUGUUUCUACAAACGGUAAUGGAACUUUGAACAUUUCGUCUAUGGAUUUGCAUCCACGCCACAUGGCAUUGUAAAGUGUUCUGGAUGGGUCAACAAAACGGACGUAUUUGGACAUAAAUGAUGGACUUUGCAGAACAAAUGAACAUUUCUUGUGGAAGUGGGUGCCCAUCCGAGUGCAUUCCGCCGAAGAUCAGCAAAGGUAAGCUGGGAUGGGAGCUGUGCUGUCUCAGCGCUCGGGUACGCCCCCAAAACUCCACACCUGUGGUUUCUUUUCGAAGAAGCUCAGCUCAGCGGAGCGUAACUAUGAUGUGGGGGACCGGGAGCUGUUGGCUGUCGUCAAGGCUCUGGAGGCAUUGGCUUGAGGGGGCUAAACACCCUUUCCUCAUUUGGG
rnacentral:lncRNA from 1 species